rnacentral:lncRNA from 1 species
AGAAGGAAGUUGAAAGGGGAUCCGACUACCAUCCCAUAGUUGCCAGAAAGGUCUUUUUUUUUCCUUCUUUCUAGGUAUUCCAGGUUGAGCGUGGGGACCAGAAACCAGAGGUGCACAUCCCUCCCAUGCACAGCCCCUGGCUUGCAGCACCACUUUCUCUUCCCGAGCUGCGACUUUCCCUGACAGAAAUGGCAGCACAAUAUCCAGGGAGUGUCUCCAGCCACACAGUGCUGAGCUAUGGGUCUCAGCUCUCAUCACUUGCAGCCUUGUGGCCGUCACGGAGAGGAAACCUCCAGGAGGAAGGCAACGUUCUGCUGGGAACCAGGGAGAGCUUGUGAGGCCACCAGAGGUUGCCACAGGAGGACAGGAAGGCUGCAGGAAAGCAGUGCUUCGAUAAUUCGAAGGUCCUUUGGUGACAGACUAACUCCCUAGGGCUAUGGGGAGAUAUGUGAGAGCUGGAGAGAUGAUUUGGGGAAAAAUUUCAUCAUUUAUAUAACCAACACUCCCUUCAGUGGGUGCAAUAGUAUGUUUGUCUCCAUUCCCAUAUCUGUUUAUUUGUCACAAAUUUAAUAGAUCAUUAGGAUUAAUAAAUUCACUCAAAAGUUACA